UACUCUCCUGCGGGAGGCAGCAGUGAGGAAUAUUGGACAAUGGGUGGAAGCCUGAUCCAGCCAUCCCGCGUGCAGGAAGACGGCCCUAUGGGUUGUAAACUGCUUUUAUCUGGGGAUAAACCUACUUACGUGUAAGUAGCUGAAGGUACCAGAAGAAUAAGCACCGGCUAACUCCGUGCCAGCAGCCGCGGUAAUACGGAGGGUGCAAGCGUUAUCCGGAUUUAUUGGGUUUAAAGGGUCCGUAGGCGGACUGAUAAGUCAGUGGUGAAAUCCGACAGCUUAACUGUCGAACUGCCAUUGAUACUGUUAGUCUUGAGUAAGGUUGAAGUGGCUGGAAUAAGUAGUGUAGCGGUGAAAUGCAUAGAUAUUACUUAGAACACCAAUUGCGAAGGCAGGUCACUAAGUCUUAACUGACGCUGAUGGACGAAAGCGUGGGGAGCGAACAGGAUUAGAAACCCUUGUAGUCCC
rnacentral:rRNA from 1 species